rnacentral:rRNA from 1 species
UGCGUAGACGGUUAUGUAAGUCAGGUGUGAAAGCCCCGGGCUCAACCUGGGAAUGCCAUUUGAGACUGCAUAGCUAGGGUACGGAAGAGGGAAGCGGAAUUUCAGGUGUAGCGGUGAAAUGCGUAGAUAUCUGAAGGAACACCAGUGGCGAAAGCGGCUUCCUGGUCCAGUACCGACGUUCAGGCACGAAAGCGUGGGGAGCAAACA